GAGACAUCUGCCUGGUCUAACGGAGCUUGUAGUUUAGACACAGGCUCGGACCAAGAGCUGCUGCAUUGGCUUUCCAGUGAGUUAGCUGUAGCGGCUACGGCUCAGCCAAGAUGAGCGUAAACAACGACAUAUAUCGUUAAAACUCUUACUGAUAAAGCCGUAAACUACAACUGCACCAAGUCAAUGCUGUGUAUCUUACCAGAACAAUCCGAAUAUUCAGACGCAGUCCAGAAAAUACUGUGCGGCGUCUAUAAAGUUAAAAGGGAAGUUUAGAGCGUCGCGUCGUAGCUGCUCUGGGCGCCAUCUUGGUUCUGCUCUGGAACCCUGGACUCAACCAAAUGCAGCUGAGCCGCGGGGGUGCGCAGCUGUACCAGCGGUUUGAGAGGCUAUCUGUGAGACCCAGAGCCGUGUGAGAGGAGGUGGAGCAACAGCUGCCGAUGGAACAUCACCAAGUCUGGAGGAAUUAAGAGCACCGCGCCUCCGGAGAGUCCCAUUACUUCUGCACAAGAUUUCCAUCACAGAGAAAUUGCUCCACAAAUGCUGAGAAUUUAGAUUCUCCCAAACUCCCAAGCAUUCUGCUUUGUGUUGAGGGAAGAAAACAUACACCAUUUUCUCGAAAUUUGGAGGACAACCACAUGUUCAGGAGAUUGUAAUAAAUUCGAUCUGUCCUAUAAUUCAUCUUUGAACCUGGAAUAAAAUAGCACCCUGAUUGCAUCACAUGUCAAGGAUGAAUGACAAAACAAAGUCAAUACGAUAGAUGAGAUGUUUGUGAUUCUAUCAAUUAUAGUGCAGUUCAAUUUAGUAAAAUGGGCUGUAUUUUAAAUUGGAUGGACUUACUCUCUAUGUUGUUGUUUGACUUUUGUAAAUUAAAAUUUGAAGUGCUGUCAUUAUGUAUUUUCAUCAUUGUGAUUGUAUUUGUAACCACCAGGUGAUUUUUCACAUCAAACCUGAUUGGAAAAACACAAAAUUACUUAAAUGGCACUAUGUUUAUGGAAAACAAACUGUUCUCUCAAUUUUCACAAAUCUUAUUUUAACUCUAUGGCUGUGUUCACCUUAAAUCUCAUUCUCUAACGGGUUUAGACAGAAACCAGGGUUCAACAUAAGCACACCUUAACGAAUAACUCUUUCAUUUCUUUAACAAACAUAAUUUUGAAUACAUAUUACAAAGUAUCAAAAGAGUUUAAACAAUACUGAAGAA